GGAGGGUGCAAGCGUUAAUCGGAAUUACUGGGCGUAAAGCGCAGGCAGGCGGUUUGUUAAGUCAGAUGUGAAAUCCCCGGGCUCAACCUGGGAACUGCAUCUGAUACUGGCAAGCUUGAGUCUCGUAGAGGGGGGUAGAGUUCCAGGUGUAGCGGUGAAAUGCGUAGAGAUCUGGAGGAAUACCGGUGGCGAAGGCGGCCCCCUGGACGAAGACUGACGCUCAGGUGCGAAAGCGUGGGGAGCAAACAGGAUUAGAUACCCUGGUAGUCCACGCCGUAAACGAUGUCGACUUGGAGGUUGUGCCCUUGAGGCGUGGCUUCCGGAGCUAACGCGUUAAGUCGACCGCCUGGGGAGUACGGCCGCAAGGUUA
rnacentral:rRNA from 1 species